GACGAACGCUGGCGGCGUGCUUAACACAUGCAAGUCGAACGGUAAGGCCCUUCGGGGUACACGAGUGGCGAACGGGUGAGUAACACGUGGGUGAUCUGCCCUGCACUUCGGGAUAAGCCUGGGAAACUGGGUCUAAUACCGGAUAGGACUCCUGGCCUCCUGGUUGGGGGUGGAAAGCUUUUGCGGUGUGGGAUGGGCCCGCGGCCUAUCAGCUUGUUGGUGGGGUAAUGGCCUACCAAGGCGACGACGGGUAGCCGGCCUGAGAAGGUGACCGGUCACACUGGGACUGAGAUACGGCCCAGACUCCUACGGGAGGCAGCAGCGGGGAAUAUUGCACAAUGGGCGCAAGCCUGAUGCAGCGACGCCGCGUGAGGGAUGACGGCCUUCGGGUUGUAAACCUCUUUCAGCUAUGACGAAGCGCAAGUGACGGUAGUAGCAGAAGAAGGACCGGCCAACUACGUGCCAGCCGCCGCGGUAA
rnacentral:rRNA from 1 species